CAAUAGCGUAUAUUAAAGUUGUUGCAGUUAAAAAGCUCGUAGUUGGAUCUCGGGUCCAGGCCUGUGGUGCAGCUUAGGCUGCUUACUGCUCGUCCUGACCUACCUACCGGUUUUCCCUUGGUGCUCUUAAGUGAGUGUCUUGGGUGGCCGGAACGUUUACUUUGAAAAAAUUAGAGUGCUCAAAGCAGGCUUUCGCCUGAAUAUUAGUGCAUGGAAUAAUUGAAUAGGACCUCGGUUCUAUUUUGUUGGUUUUCGGAACUCGAGGUAAUGAUUAAGAGGGACAGACGGGGGCAUUCGUAUUACGGUGUUAGAGGUGAAAUUCUUGGAUCGCCGUAAGACGAACUACUGCGAAAGCAUUUGCCAAGAAUGUUUUCAUUAAUCAAGAACGAAAGUCAGAGGUU
rnacentral:rRNA from 3 species